CAAUAGCGUAUAUUUAAGUUGUUGCAGUUAAAAAGCUCGUAGUUGGAUUUCGGAUGGGACUUGCCGGUCCGUCGUUUCGAUGUGCACUGGCCAGUCCUAUCUUGUUGUCGGGGACUAGCUCCUGGGCUUCACUGUCCGGGACUAGGAGCUGACGAGGUUACUUUGAGUAAAUUAGAGUGUUCAAAGCAAGCCUACGCUCUGAAUACAUUAGCAUGGAAUAACACGAUAGGACUCUGGCUUAUCUUGUUGGUCUGUGAGACCAGAGUAAUGAUUAAGAGGGACAGUCGGGGGCAUUCGUAUUUCAUUGUCAGAGGUGAAAUUCUUGGAUUUAUGAAAGACGAACUUCUGCGAAAGCAUUUGUCCAGGAUGUUUUCAUUAA
rnacentral:rRNA from 1 species